rnacentral:rRNA from 1 species
AACGAACGCUGGCGGCAUGCCUAACACAUGCAAGUCGAACGAACCCUUCGGGGUUAGUGGCGCACGGGUGCGUAACGCGUGGGAACCUGCCUUUAGGUUCGGAAUAACUCAGAGAAAUUU